rnacentral:ncRNA from 1 species
GAAAUUAUAAAGUUAAUUCUAGCUUUGAUAUUUAUUUUAAAUUUAUUGAAUAUAUAAAUUAUUGUAAAAUUUUAAUUAAAUUUUAAAAAUUAUUAUUAUUUUUUAUAAUACAUUAAUUUAAAAAUUUAAGAAAUUAAGAUUUAGUAAUAUUUUUAAUUAUUGAUAAAUUUAGUGCCAGCAAUCGCGGUUAUACUAAUAAUAAUAUAAUUAUAUAUUUGUAAAAUUAAUAUGAAAUUUAAUUUUUAAAUAAUAAUCUUUUAUUUUUAAGUAAAAUUUAAAUAAUUAGAAAUUUUUAAAAUAUUAAAAUUUUAUGAAGUUUGUAAAAUAAAUAAAUAAACUAGGAUUAGAUACCCUAUUAUUUUAUUAAAAAAUAAUUUAUAAAGUAGUAUAAGAUAAAUUCUUCAAACUUAAAGAAUAUGGCAGUAUUUUAAUCUAAUUAGAGGAACCUGUUUAUUAAUUGAUAAUCCACGAUUAAUUUUACUUAAUUUAUUAAAUUUAUAUAUUAUUGUAAUAUAAAUAUUUUUUAAAAAUUUUUAAUAUUUUAAAAUUUAAAAUUAAAAUUAUUUCAAAUCAAAAUGUAGUUUAUAAUUAAGAAUCAAAUGGGUUAUAAAAAAUAAAUUUUUGAAUUUAUUUUAAUAAUUUGAAAUAAUGAAAUUAGAUUUAAUAGUAAUUUAAAUAAAUUUAUUUAAAUGAUUAAGUUCUAAAAUAUGUACAUAUUGCCCGUCAUUUUCAUUUUAAAUUGAAACAAGUCGUAACAUAGUAAAUGUACUGGAAAGUGUAUUUAGAAAGAU